rnacentral:lncRNA from 1 species
UUUGUUCAUAAGCUAAAUUGUAGAUAUAAAUCCAAACUCGAGUAUAGAUUUCCGUAGAGUUUAGGGUAAGCGCAACUUCUUGCAAAUGUUCGGCAGAAUUCUCUUUUAUCUUUAAACAAUAUAGUUAGGUUUCUUAAACAAAAUUAUUAAAGAGUUCAAACUAAAUAUCAUAAUAUACAUUUUCAAAUUAAAAAAAAAAAAAAAAUCUUAGAAUGGUAGCAUUAGCAUAUCAAAUGAGUUUGUGAUGAUUGGGAAUACGUCAGACCGGUCACUCAACUCUAAUUUGACUCAAAAUAAUAAUCUGAAAACGGUUUCUUUUAUUUUGAUCAACGAUUUGCACUCCCAUUCGCC